rnacentral:rRNA from 1 species
CCUACGGGCGGCAGCAGUCGAGAAUCAUUCACAAUGGGGGAAACCCUGAUGGUGCGACGCCGCGUGGGGGAAUGAAGGUCUUCGGAUUGUAAACCCCUGUCAUGUGGGAGCAAAUUAAAAAGAUAGUACCACAAGAGGAAGAGACGGCUAACUCUGUGCCAGCAGCCGCGGUAAUACAGAGGUCUCAAGCGUUGUUCGGAACCACUGGGCGUAAGGCGUGCGUAGGCUGUUUCGUAAGUCGUGUGUGAAAGGCGCGGGCUCAACCCGCGGACGGCACAUAAUACUGCGAGACUAGAGUAAUGGAGGGGGAACCGGAAUUCUCGGUGUAGCAGUGAAAUGCGUAGAUAUCGAGAGGAACACUCGUGGCGAAGGCGGGUUCCUGGACAUUAACUGACGCUGAGGCACGAAGGCCAGGGGAGCGAAAGGGAUUAGAUACCCUGGUAGUC